UGCCAGCCGCCGCGGUAAUACGAAGGGACCUAGCGUAGUUCGGAAUUACUGGGCUUAAAGAGCUCGUAGGUGGUUAAAAAAGUUGAUGGUGAAAUCCCUAGGCUUAACCUUGGAACUGCCAUCAAAACUUUUUAGCUAGAGUGUGAUAGAGGUAAGUGGAAUUUCUAGUGUAGAGGUGAAAUUCGUAGAUAUUAGAAAGAACACCGGUGGCGAAAGCGCUCUACUGGACCAUUACUGACACUCAGAGGCGAAAGCUAGGGUAGCAAAAGGGAUUAGAUU
rnacentral:rRNA from 1 species